UGGGGAAUAUUGGGCAAUGGGCGCAAGCCUGACCCAGCAACGCCGCGUGAGGGAAGAAGGCUUUCGGGUUGUAAACCUCUGUCCUUGGUGACGAAGAAAAUGACGGUAGCCAAGGAGGAAGCACCGGCUAACUACGUGCCAGCAGCCGCGGUAAUACGUAGGGGGCGAGCGUUGUCCGGACUUACUGGGCGUAAAGGGUGCGUAGGUGGCCUUUUAAGUUGGAUGUGAAAUACCCGGGCUUAACUUGGGGGGUGCAUCUAAUACUGGAGGGCU
rnacentral:rRNA from 1 species